ensembl:lncRNA
UACAGAAUGAUGCUUAAGAGUUUAAUUACAUAUUUAAAUGGACUCUUCAAUUACUCUGGCUUAAUAAAAUAUCAUUAUCCUGUCUCCAAAGUUAUAUGCAGUAGGGACAUGUAUUAGUCUAUCUGCUUAAGAAAUAUUAGAUUAUGGAAAGACUGGGCUUUGCCAGGAGGCCGGGCUCAAUCUAUGAUAAAUCUCUGUUAACUUAGAAGCCGCAGCUUACAUCAAAAUUUGACAUCGGAGCUAACAAACAAUGUGAAAUUUCCAUAUUAAUUAGCACUGGGCACUGCGGGCUGCAUUUCAAUGACUGGCUAUUCUUAGCUGUGAGGAACUACAGUGCCGCCAUGUGGAGCUGAGCACAGUGCUAAUGGAGAACAUGAAUACCAAGUUAAAGCACCAUGGUAGUCACUUCAAUUCUUCCCCUCAAUGACCUUCAAAAUGUCCCACCACUUUAGCCACUUAGCUGAAUGUGCUUGUGUCUGUGUCGUUCUGUCAUUCAUUAAUUGAUUGUAUUUUAGUGUUUCUCUUUCAGAUGAAUGAUUCCUACCAGCCUUUACAGUAGUAUGUAUGUUAAUAUUAAUCAGUUUUAUAAUGUAGUCUAACUGGAAUUUUCUGUUUUAGCAACUGGAUGGUUAACAGUAAACCAUAAUAGUGGACUUAAAAAUUAAAUGACGAAGGACCGGACUACACUGGCACACUCAUGAGAGUCCAUAUCCAUGGAUAUACUGGAUAAGGAUGAUUUCAUGAUUGGAGUUCGCUUUGGGUCCAAAUAUGUGUGUCAUUUUCAGCAUGUUGGUCACAGGGAGCCUGGAGUCUAUUCCAGGGAGCUCAGCAUAGCAACAUGGGGGACACUCUGGACAGGGUGCCAAUCCAUCGCAGGGCACAAUUCCCACACACUACGGACAAUUUGGAAAUGCCAAUCAGCCUACAGCGCAUUUCUUUGGACUGGUGGAGGAAACUGGAGUACCCGGAGAGAACAACUGAAGCACAGGGAGAACACGCACAGAGGCAGGCCUGUGCUUAUGCUGGCUAAUUAAGCAGUACAGGAUGUCAGUGAUGCUGGGAGACUUCCCCCAUCGUAGCUGGGGAGCCACUCCUCUGAAGAGGAACAUGGCGUGAGCUGGCUUUUGUCAUCUCUCCAUCUCUGUAGGGGAAGAUUCUAUUGAGAAGACAACCUCAAUAACAGCAAUCACAAUCACAUUCGCACUACACACUCUUCAACACAGACGGCCUGCGACGGUGUAAAUUAAGCUCAGAAUGGUGCACGAGUCAUUGUUUUGGAAGGUGGCAGGCAGUGUCCUACACACUUAAGCCACACAAGACCAGAAAUGCAGGAAUGACCCAUCACAAAACACUGACUAAGUGAGAGUACAAAAAACAAAAACAAAAAACAAAGCAGGUUUGGCACUCUAUUGUCGGUGUGAUUAAAAGCAACGAUGGAAUAUUUUAACAUUAAAAAGAAAUCAGAAGAGCAGUGAUGGUGAAUAAUACGUGCUCAGUGUGAGGUAGGACCACUCUUGCAAAGUAACACCCAUUAAAAGCUCAUUUGCACCGUGAGGCAGUUCAUUAAUGCAGGGAAUAGUGAAAUCACACCAAUAGAGCACAGCGUAACCCCAGGGCACUGGCAGGAGCCGGGGUUCACCCUGCCAACAAACUCAACCCCACAGCUCAUUUACACUGGGGAUUACCACUGGCCAGGGUGUUUACUGUUUUAUUGUUUACUCAUAUGUGCAGAGAGAGUGCAGUGUAAGACAUCUGUCAUAAUUUUCGGCAUGGAUACGCCUCAUUUAUGUGUGUGCUCUGUCAAAUUCACU